rnacentral:rRNA from 1 species
GACAGAGGGGGCAAGCGUUGCUCGGAAUUACUGGGCGUAAAGGGCGCGUAGGCGGAAUGGCAAGUCGGUCGUGAAAUCCUUCGGCUCAACCGAAGAACGUCGAUCGAAACUGCCGUUCUUGAGGAUUGCAGAGGAGACUGGAAUUCCCGGUGUAGCGGUGAAAUGUGUAGAGAUCGGGAGGAACACCUGUGGCGAAGGCGGCCACCUGGUUGGAUACUGACGCUGAGACGCGAAAGCGUGGGGAGCAAACAGG